AGUAGAUUUUGUAACGCCCCAAAAACCGGUUACCAAUUAAAAUAAAUGAAAAUGAACAACAAAAAAAAAGUAAACUAGUUGAUGGGUUAUGAUAAGAAAUAAGUUAAAAAAAAUUGAAAUAAUGCUUGAAUUAAAUACUUAACAACUUAUAAGGGGGUAAUGUGUUAAGUUCUAAUAAAUAAGGAUUUAUAGUGGGUAAACCCACAAACACACAUUCUGUGCGUGGGGAUGGAUCGAUCAAGCAGGAGGAGAACAAGGCCAAAUUCAGCAAAUUGAAGAGGAAAUUCAAGGAUAAUCCAAUGCAUGAACUUCGAUUUACACUCAUCUAAACUCGAUUAUUGAAGUGGCACGAAGAAGGAAGAAGGCGCAAGUCACUCGAAGGCAUAAGUAUCUCAAGAUCGCGGUAAAUCCUCAACUUAGGCGACUCGGCGAAAUGGAGCGAGCACACGAUCAAAAUAUGUCUUACCAAGCGCUUCCGCUAGCUUAUGCUAAUGUUUUGGGUCAAAAUACUUUUUGUACAAAUUGUUGGUAAAACGCCUUUAAGUACUUGAUGUUUUAGUUUUAGUAGUAUCUUGUAGAAUGAUAUUGUUUGAUUAUGGUUAAAACAGGGGCAUACUCGUUUUACGGACGGGUCAUGCCCAAUUUUUGUAAAAAUUUUAAUUAUGUAUUCA